ACGGGGUGCAGCAGGCGCGAAAACUUUGCAAUAAGCGAAAGCUUGACAGGGCUAUCCCGAGUGCCAUCCGCUGAGGAAGGCUUUUACCCAGUCUAGUAAGCUGGGGGAAUAAGGAGAGGGCAAGUCUGGUGUCAGCCGCCGCGGUAAUACCAGCUCUCCGAGUGGUGUGGAUGUUUAUUGGGCCUAAAGCAUCCGUAGCUGGCUGAGUUAGUCCCCUGUUAAAUCCACCGAAUUAAUCGUUGGAUCGCGGGGGAUACUGCUUGGCUAGGGGACGAGAGAGGCAGACGGUAUUUUCGGGGUAGGGGUGAAAUCCUAUAAUCCCGGGAAGACCACCAGUGGCGAAGGCUGUCUGCUAGAACGCGCCCGACGGUGAGGGAUGAAAGCUGGGGGAGCGAACCGGAUUAGAUACCCGGGUAGUCCCAGCUGUAAACGAUGCAGACUAGGUGUUUGAGCGGCCACGUGCCGUUCUAGUGCCGCAGGGAAGCUGUUAAGUCUGCCGCCUGGGGAGUACGAUCGCAAGAUUGAAACUUAAAGGAAUUGGCGGGGGAGCAC
rnacentral:rRNA from 1 species